rnacentral:tRNA from 1 species
GAUUUAGCUCAGUGGUAGGGCACUUGCUUAGUAUGCACAAGGCCUUGGGUUCAGUCCCCAGCAAAACA